rnacentral:rRNA from 1 species
CUGCGAAUGGCUCAUUAAAUCAGUUAUCGUAUAUUUGAUAGUACCUACUACAUGGAUAACCGUGGUAAUUCUAGAGCUAAUACAUGCUUAAAAUCCCGACUUCGGAAGGGAUGUAUUUAUUAGAUUAAAAACCAAUGCCCUUCGGGGCUCACUGGUGAUUCAUAAUAACUUCUCGAAUCGCAUGGCCUUGCGCCGGCGAUGGUUCAUUCAAAUUUCUGCCCUAUCAACUUUCGACGGCUGGGUCUUGGCCAGCCGUGGUUACAACGGGUAACGGAGGGUUAGGGCUUGACCCCGGAGAAGGAGCCUGAGAAACGGCUACUACAUCCAAGGAAGGCAGCAGGCGCGCAAAUUACCCAAUCCCGACUCGGGGAGGUAGUGACAAUAAAUACUGAUACAGGGCUCUUUUGGGUCUUGUAAUUGGAAUGAGUACAAUUUAAAUCCCUUAACGAGGAACAAUUGGAGGGCAAGUCUGGUGCCAGCAGCCGCGGUAAUUCCAGCUCCAAUAGCGUAUAUUAAAGUUGUUGCAGUUAAAAAGCUCGUAGUUGAACCUUGGGCCUGGCUGGCCGGUCUGCCUCACCGCAUGCACUGGUCCGGCCGGGCCUUUCCCUCUGGGGAACCGCAUGCCCUUCACUGGGUGUGCCG